GAUGAACGCUGGCGGCGUGCCUAAUACAUGCAAGUCGAGCGAAGCGGCGACGGGUGAGUAACUUGUGGAUAACCUCCUAUAAGACUGGGAUAACUUCGGGAAACCGGAGCUAAACCGGAUACUUAUCGAUCGAUCCGCGCUGCAUUAGCUAGUUGGUAAGGUAACGGCUUACCAAGGAAACGAUGCAUAGCCGACCUGAGAGGGUGAACGGCCAACCGGAAACUGAGAAACGGGCCAGACUCCGACGGGAGGCAGCAGUAGGGAAUCUUCCGCAAUGGGCCAAAGCCUGACGGAGCAACGCGGCGUGAGUGAUGAAGGUCUUCGGAUCGUAAAACUCUGUUAUUAGGCAAGCGGUACCUAAUCAGAAAGCCACGACUAAAUACGUGCCAGCCGCCGCGGUAAUUC
rnacentral:rRNA from 1 species